rnacentral:rRNA from 1 species
CCUACGUGUGGCAGCAGUGAGGAAUAUUGGUCAAUGGGCGCGAGCCUGAACCAGCCAAGUAGCGUGAAGGAUGACUGCCCUACGGGUUGUAAACUUCUUUUAUAAAGGAAUAAAGUGAGGCACGUGUGCCUUUUUGUAUGUACUUUAUGAAUAAGGAUCGGCUAACUCCGUUCCAGCAGCCGCGGUAAUACGGAGGAUCCGAGCGUUAUCCGGAUUUUUUGGGUUUAAAGGGAGCGUGGAUGGGUUGUUAAGUCAGUUGUGAAAGUUUGCGGCUCAACCGUAAAAUUGCAAUUGAUACUGGCAGUCUAGAGUACAGUUGAGGUAGGCGGAAUUCGUGGUGUAGCGGUGAAAUGCUUAGAUAUCACGAAGAACUCCGAUUGCGAAGGCAGCUUACUAAACUGCCACUGACAUUGAUGCUCGAAAGUGUGGGUAUCAAACAGGAAUAGAUACCCUGGUAGUC